GGAAAAAGCAAGGCAAUAUCCCAAAUCUCCCAGUAACCGGACGAAACACAGUUCUGAGAGUCAACUGAGGUCUUUAUUUUCAGCUCCACAAUUUAUACAAUUCCCCAUGCAAGGGGUUUCCUGAGUCCUCUCCCAGGGGCAUUCCCAGAGUGGACUACAUGGGGAACUUACUGUACAGGACAUUUCUCCCAUCAGGCACUGCUGCACAAGAGGGAUCCUCCAACAGGAAUGUACCGUUAAGUGGAUUAUCCCUCCGUGCAGCAGAACCGACAAUUUAUAUUAAAAUGCAUAACUUUUCGAAUAUGCGGUCUAUUUGCACGAAUGGACGUUCGGUAGAUAGCUGGGGUCUGAGCGCAUCAUUCGUGAGAUUACCGCUCAGAUCCCAGCUAAAACAACCGAACGCUGCACGAAAAACACAUUCAUUAAAAUACAUGUUCAAAAGACCGAUUGCAUUCUAGGGAACCAAAUACCGUACGGCCCGGAACUCCCGAACGGCCUGGAAGCUCAGCGGUGUUCGCACCGUCGAGUUGCCGUUUUUAGUACCAUGCGCUCGACGACCACACACCGCAGAGGGAACAAAGGAUCCAAGAUGGCCGACCGCCGCAUGGACGGUAGUCGAACGGCGGCCACCUAGGAGAGCCUCUAAUUACCGAUUGCAACAUUGUUGCAAUUGGUUAACAAGCGCCACACGCCUCUAAGUGUGUGGGCUAUUACAUGGGGGUUUUUCGGUUCACGAACGGCCCGCAAAAGUGCCGUUCGUGAAACGAAAGGAAAAACAGCUAUCUGCAUUUGGCAGAUAGCCAAUACAGCAAAUACACGUUAAUUACAGCCAGCAUACAUUACACUGAGUAAAACACAUAUCCCACAACCAUACAGGCAAACCUUAAAGGCACAGUCUCUUUAUAUUGUCCAAGUGGCUAUGUUUGCCACAGAACCCGGAAGUCUCAACGCUGAAAUAGACAUUAUCUGCUUCCUUUAAUGUGAAUGGAAAUGCAAUAUUCCCCUUAUAUGGACCAUUGUAAUAAUUAUAACUUGUAAAAAAAAG